AGAACGAACGCUGGCGGCAGGCCUAACACAUGCAAGUCGAACGCCCCGCAAGGGGAGUGGCAGACGGGUGAGUAACGCGUGGGAACAUACCUUUCGGUUCGGAAUAGCUCAGGGAAACUUGAAUUAAUACCGGAUACGUCCGCAAGGAGAAAGAUUUAUCGCCGAAAGAUUGGCCCGCGUCCGAUUAGCUAGUUGGUAAGGUAAUGGCUUACCAAGGCGACGAUCGGUAGCUGGUCUGAGAGGAUGAUCAGCCACACUGGGACUGAGACACGGCCCAGACUCCUACGGGAGGCAGCAGUGGGGGAUAUUGGACAAUGGGCGCAAGCCUGAUCCAGCCAUGCCGCGUGAGUGAUGAAGGCCCUAGGGUUGUAAAGCUCUUUCGUCAGGGACGAUAAUGACGGUACCUGAAGAAGAAGCCCCGGCUAACUUCGCGCCAGCAGCCGC
rnacentral:rRNA from 1 species